UCGCAUGCAGUUAAUAUACAUAUAUCCUAUCCUGGACAUUUGGCGGCUUCUCUUCACAUCCACACUUAGACAAUUACAUACACAUUCCAUUAGCUACGGAGAGGGGAAAGGGAAAGUAGAUCAGUCGAACUAUGCCAGGGCUGCUGAACAACCCACACACCGGGUACCCACUCUGCAACCUUCUUCAUGUAAAUUCUAAUCUCAUUAUAACUCAAGAACAUAGUUGCAGUGAUGCCAAAGAUGUGGAAGAUUGCCUUGGCAAGUUGCUUAAUUCUCGAGGAAGAAAGAUUUUCCUCUUUACGAGGUGUCAAAUUACUCCAUGGUUAGGUACUUAAUCUUGUAGAAUCCUUACAAUCCAUGAUUUCAUUAAGGAAAAUAACAGGCUGUGCAGACUGUAUUCUAGAGGCAAACUGUGCCAUCCUUUGUUCACAGAUAUUGAUAAGUUCAGAAUGUAUGCCCAGGAAGUUGCGCCAUGAAUAGUUUAAGCUACUCCAAUUCUUUGUAAGUUUACAAUCCAAGAUUUCAUUAAGGAAAAUAACAGGCUGUGCAGACUGUAUUCUAGAGGCAAACUGUGCUAUCCUUUGUUCACAGAUAUUGAUAAGUUCAGAAUGUAUGACCAGGAAGUUGCACCAUGAAUAGUUCAAGCUACUCCAAUUCUUUAUCUCUUCUUGUUUGAUGCUUAUCCUUGGACUGCUGGAUUUUCUCUUUAUAUCUCUCCUUUAGUGGUGGAGGGUUAUGAUCUCUCUCUAUGGACACAACCGCUAGAAGUAGAGGCAUCUCUUGUUUGCUUAGUGAUGUCUCUUCAUAACCGCACCCUUUCUUAUCUUGGAUUAAUUUGUUUACUUACUUAACAAGUUAUUUUCCUUUGCUAACUGAUUAUUAGGUGGGAUUGUUGCCUUUUAGGGGAUGAUCCAAUAUAAUAUAUGUUUGUUCAAUUCUUAGUAAUUUCCCUGGCAUACGACCUACUGUAUAAUGUGGCUGUUGCAAGAUUCAUGAUUUACUAAAAUUGUGAAGUCUUACGUUUGUAAGACAAUUUCAUAUUACGGUUUUUCUGUUUAUCUGAUGUCAGAUUGGGGGCAUGACAACAUGUGAUAGCACCUGCAUAAUGUUUGAAUAUAUAGUUUGUGGUGGAUUUCCUAUCAAUAGAAUCACUAUCUUAGUAUCACUAUCAUAGUAUUGUAAUAAUAAAAUAAUUUGAUAUUUUUGGUGGAGGAAUAAUAAAGACCACAGUAAAGACCAUAUGUAAGUGUACUCAUUGAAAAAUAUGAUAAUAUUUUUUUCUGAUCCACAUAGAUAAAUCUAGACAAAAUACCUACUGCAUGUUAUCACCUCAAAUUUUACCUAUUUAUUUAUAAAAUAAUUUGACAUUUUUGGUGGAAGAAUAAAAAUGACCAUAGUAAAGACCAUAUUUAAGUGUACUCAUUGAAAAAUAUCAUAUUAUUCUUUUCUGAUCCACAUAGAUAAAUCUAGACGAAAUACCUAGACAAAACACCUACUGCAUGUUGUCACCUCAAAUUUUACCUAUUUAUUUAUAAAAUAAUUUGGCAUUUUUUGUGGAGGAAUAAUAAAGACCAUAGUAAAGACCAUAUUUAAGUGUACUCAUUGAAAAAUAUGAUCAUAUUCUUUUCUGAUCCACAUAGAUGAAUCUAGACAAAAUACCUACUGCAUGUU